GUAGGUGGCAAGCGUUGUCCGGAAUUAUUGGGCGUAAAGCGCGCGCAGGCGGGGUCCUUUAAAGGUCUGAUGUGAAAGCCCACGGGCUCAACCGUGGAGGGUCAUUGGAAACCGGGGGGACUUGAGUACAGAAGAGGAAAGCGGAAUUCCAAGUGUAGCGGUGAAAUGCGUAGAGAUUUGGAGGAACACCAGUGGCGAAGGCGGCUUUCUGGUCUGUAACUGACGCUGAGGCGCGAAAGCGUGGGGAGCAAACAGGAUUAGAUACCCUGGUAGUCCACGCCGUAAACGAUGAGUGCUAAGUGUUAGGGGGUUUCCGCCCCUUAGUGCUGCAGCUAACGCAUUAAGCACUCCGCCUGGGGAGUACGGCCGCAAAGGCUGA
rnacentral:rRNA from 1 species